CGGGGGGGAGGCCCGGAGGGAGGUCGGAGGGAGGUCGGAGGGAGGCGGGGAGGGAGGCCCGGAGGGAGGUCGGAGGGAGGCCGGGGGGGAGGCCCGGAGGGAGGUCGGAGGGAGGCCGGGAGGGAGGCCGGGGGGGAGGUCGGAGGGAGGUCGGAGGGAGGCCCGGAGGGAGGUCGGAGGGAGGUCGGAGGGAGGUCGGAGGGAGGCCGGGAGGGAGGCCGGGAGGGAGGCCGGGAGGGAGGUCGGAGGGAGGCGGGGAGGGAGGCCGGGAGGGAGGUCGGAGGGAGGCCGGGAGGGAGGCCGGGAGGGAGGUCGGAGGGAGGCCGGGAGGGAGGCCGGGAGGGAGGCCGGGAGGGAGGUCGGAGGGAGGCGGGGAGGGAGGCCGGGAGGGAGGUCGGAGGGAGGCCGGGAGGGAGGCCGGGAGGGAGGUCGGAGGGAGGCGGGGAGGGAGGCCGGAGGGCCUCGCGUGGCUUCUGGGAAGGGUGUGGCAGAGACAGUUCUCAGGAAACUGAAACAGAAAAGCAAAAGGAGACGCGAGGGGUGAGACCUCAGGGAGCCGCCAGUGUCCGCGGGAGGCAGGGGGCACCUUCCUUGAUCGAAGAGAUUGUCAGGAGACUGGCAGAGAGGAGGGAGAUGAUGAGGGGCCUCCAACGCUAAACAACCGGUUUCAUGUCUGCCCUGGAGAGGAGAGGGAGUCACGGAACUUUCCUGAGUGGGAGGAACCCGCGUUUUAGGGAAAUUACUUUAGUGGCAGCGGAGGAGGUGACCAAAGCGUUACAGGCUCGGGCCAACAAGCAUUUACUGAGGACCCACUAGGUGCCAGACACCGUGCUAAGUGCUAGCUAUACAAAGACAGACGAAAGACAGCGCCUGCCCUUAAGGAGCUUCCAGUCCCAAGGGGGAGCCGAUGCAGAACAGAUGGAUUCCAAGAAGCCAUUGUCAGGAUACAGCGGGGAGGCCCUGCAAUAACCAGGAGCAGGAGAGGCUUCCUGAAGGAAUUUGAACUGGGACUGAAGCAGGGAGGCCGGGAUGAGGAGGGAUGGCGUCCCAGGCAGGGGGCACAGCCCGUGACAAUGCCUGGAGCUGGGAGACGAAAGCGUCUCAUUCGGGCAAAAGCAGGAGACCAGCGGCACUGACUAACAGUACUUGGGGGAUUGGGACCAGAAAGCUGGGGAGGAGUAACAGCGGGCCUUAGGGGCCCCUUAGAUUGGGGGAUCCUCAAAGGCAGGAACCGUAUUUGCUUUUCUGAUUCUUGCACAAUGCUUGGCACACAGUAGGUACUUAAUAAAUGUUUAUUCAUAGAUCUAA